UACAGAGGGUGCAAGCGUUGUUCGGAAUUACUGGGCGUAAAGCGCGUGUAGGCGGUCCACCAAGUCUUGUGUGAAAGCCCUGGGCUCAACCCAGGAAGUGCGCAAGAAACUGGUGGGCUGGAGUGUCGGAGAGGAUGGCGGAAUUCCCGGUGUAGAGGUGAAAUUCGUAGAUAUCGGGAGGAACACCUGUGGCGAAGGCGGCCAUCUGGACGAUAACUGACGCUGAGACGCGAAAGCAUGGGGAGCAAACAGG
rnacentral:rRNA from 1 species